rnacentral:tRNA from 5 species
UGAGGCGUCGUCUAAUGGCAGGACCGCGGACUUUGGAUCCGCUCAUGAAGGUUCGAAUCCUUCCGCCUCAGCCA